rnacentral:rRNA from 1 species
UGCCCAACAGCUAGCCCACCCAUCAACCCCAAAUUCACCUUAUUAAUACCCCCAAACACACUUCAUCCCACAAACAAACCAUUUUUCCCCCUCAGUACGGGCGACGAAAAAGGAACCAGGAGCAACAGAGAAAGUACCGCAAGGGAAAGCUGAAAGAGAAAUGAAACAACCCAGUAAAGCGCUAAAAAGCAGAGACUCUCCCUCGUACCUUUUGCAUCAUGAUUUAGCCAGUAAAUUUUAAGCGAAAAGCAUUAUAGUUUAAUACCCCGAAACUAAGCGAGCUACUCCAAGGCAGUCUAUUUUAUAGGACCUACCCGUCUCUGUGGCAAAAGAGUGGGAAGAACUUCGAGUAGAGGUGACAGACCUACCGAGCUUAGUUAUAGCUGGUUGCCUAAGAAUUGAAUAGAAGUUCAGCCCUUUAAAUUCUUCACCCCGCCGGCCCAAGGCCUCCCCCCGCCGAACAAAAGAAAUUAAAGGAGUUAGUCAAAGGGGGUACAGCCCCUUUGAAACAAGAUACAACUUUCCAAGGAGGGUAAAGAUCACACAAACUUAAAGGCUAAGCACCCUAGUGGGCCUAAAAGCAGCCAUCUAUUAAGAAAGCGUUAAAGCUCGAGCAUGUCAAAACCAGCCUUCCAAUAAAGACAACACAAUCUCACCCCCCUAAGCCUAUUAGGCCCCUCCAUAGACUUAUGGAAGUGUUUAUGCUAAUAUGAGUAAUAAGAGGGGGCCCCCCUCUCCCCGCACAAGUGUAAGUCGGAACGAACUAUUCACCGACCAUUAACGGCCCCAAAAUAAGAGGGCACUAGACAAAAAAUAAACAACUAGAAAACCACCUAACUUCCUGCCGUUAGCCCCACACUGGUGUGCCAACCCGGAAAGACUAAAAGAAAAAGAAGGAACUCGGCAAACAUAAGCCUCGCCUGUUUACCAAAAACAUCGCCUCUUGCCCCCUAAAAAUAAGAGGUCCCGCCUGCCCUGUGACUGUAA